ensembl:lncRNA
CUGCUCUACCCCAUCUACCCAGCCACUGAUGACAUCAUGGAAGGCUAUCAGAAUUGCCUCUGAAUUUACUUUGGUGAAUUCCAUCAAUAAAAAGUGGUGUGAGGACUGUCUGUAACAAGUUUCUCAACGCUUGUGAUGAUCAUGCCCAAAUACAGAGUAACCAAAUGACUUUCCUGUUUUGUACAUACAUCAUUACCAGUGGCUAACAGUAGGAGGGAUGCUCCAGCCAUCUGAGCGUCCUCAUGGCCCUCCUCUGGACUGACUACAACAGGCCCAUGUCCUUCUCAUGCUGAAUGCACUACAUCAGAACCCAAAAAUAAGUGCAGAUUUAGAGAAUCCUGGAAUUAUCAGCGGAGUCCAAAGCCAGCAUUUGUUACAAUCAAUUCGGAGGUGGUCAAGCACAUAUUCAUCAGCAGAAAUAAGCAUUCUCU